rnacentral:rRNA from 1 species
CCUACGGGAGGCAGCAGUGAGGAAUAUUGGUCAAUGGGCGCGAGCCUGAACCAGCCAAGUCGCGUGAGGGAAGACGGUCCUAUGGAUUGUAAACCUCUUUUGUCGGGGAGCAAAAGACGCCACGCGUGGCGUUCCGAGAGUACCCGAAGAAAAAGCGUCGGCUAACUCCGUGCCAGCAGCCGCGGUAAUACGGAGGAUGCGAGCGUUAUCCGGAUUUAUUGGGUUUAAAGGGUGCGCAGGCGGAAGAUCAAGUCAGCGGUAAAAUUGAGGGGCGCAACCUCUUCGAGCCGUUGAAACUGGUUGUCUUGAGUGAGCGAGAGGUAUGCGGAAUGCGUGGUGUAGCGGUGAAAUGCAGAGAUAUCACGCAGAACUCCGAUUGCGAAGGCAGCAUACCGGCGCUCAACUGACGCUCAUGCACGAAAGUGUGGGGAUCGAACAGGAUUAGAUACCCGUGUAGUC